rnacentral:rRNA from 1 species
AGCAGCCGCGGUAAUUCCAGCUCCAAUAGCGUAUAUUAAAGUUGUUGCAGUUAAAAAGCUCGUAGUUGAAUUUCGGGAUCAAUACGUCGGUCGUGCUUCGGUACGUACUGGUGUCAUUGAUUUCUCCCUUCUGACGAACCAUGAUGUCAUUAACUUGGUGUCAUGGGAAAUCAGGACUGUUACUUUGAAAAAUUAGAGUGUUUAGAGCAGGCUCACGCUUGAAUACAUUAGCAUGGAAUAAUGAAAUAGGACGUUCGAUCCUAUUUUGUUGGUUUCUAGGAUCAACGUAAUGAUUAAUAGGGAUAGUUGGGGGCAUUAGUAUUCAAUUGUCAGAGGUGAAAUUCUUGGAUUUAUUGAAGACUAACUACUGCGAAAGCAUUUGCCAAGGAUGUUUUCAUUAAUCAAGAACGAAAGUUAGGGGAUCGAAGACGAUCAGAUACCGUCGUAGUCUUAACCAUAAACUAUGCCGACUAGGGAUCGGAUGAUGUUAGUUUUUAAUGA